UACGUAGGGGCCAAGCGUUGUCCGGAUUUAUUGGGCGUAAAGAGCUCGUAGGUGGUUCGGCAAGUCAGUUGUGAAAUCUCCGCGCUCAACGCGGAGGGGUCAGCUGAAACUGCUGUGACUUGAGUCUGGUAGGGGAGUGUGGAAUUCCGGGUGUAGCGGUGGAAUGCGUAGAUAUCCGGAAGAACACCUGAGGCGAAGGCGGCUUGCUGGGCAUGAUCUGACGCUGAGGCGCGAAAGCGUGGGGAGCAAACAGG
rnacentral:rRNA from 1 species